UAUUGAUUGUACGUAGCUAAAGUUAGCUGCUUUUUAGCAGGUGUUAUUACUGCGGCCCUGGCUUUGGUUGACACAAAAUUUGAAAAAAAUAUCUACAGCAAACAUUGGUUUGAGAAGCAUUCAUUGGGAAAUAACACGUUACUUCUAUUAGCCUUUGCAUAUGACCGAAUGUUGACAUUUUGAUUAAACUAAAGGGUUCUCUUGGAUUUGGAUUUACUUUCAAAACAUUUUCAUACACUUUAGGAAACACUGAAGUGGAAUAGUCCUCUUCUCAAUGAUCAAGGGAUCAAAAUGAUUUGGAUUGGGAACUAGAUUUAGGUACACUUUCAUUCUCUUUAAACUCACAUUGGCUUUAAAGUAUUCGUCCAAUAGGCAAUUACUUAUCUUGGUGAACUCAGCAAACUUUUUCCUCCACCUUAAUAUUUCCAUUCUGCUAUUGUUGAUGUCUGUCCUAUGAUAUAACUUCCUGUGGUUUGCAUCUGGGCUGCUAUGGCACAGUCUGCUUUAGUGGUGUGAUCGAGAGAAUGUGUUCUGUGACACACCGCCCUGAGCAACAGACUCAGAGCUCUGGCACAGUCAGCUGCUGUCGGGGGGGGGCCCCAGAAAGCACCGUCUGUGCUCACAUUCCAGUUUGAGGAGAUGAAAAAAAUCCCCCCCAUCAUUCUCUCCUUCAAUCUCUGUACAGGACAUGAAAUACCAUCUUUGUUGAUGUCUCCUUAAAUGGAAACCUAGGUUCUGCUCCGAAGCCAAAAGCAGCAUGACAUUCAAACUGCGGGGAAUUACUGGAUUUCUGGACUUGCUGAUAAAUAACGGCCACUCCUAAGAGGGGUUGCAGCAGAAACACGACAUUCCUGCAGUCAGCGGUUGAGGCCAAAUCAUAGCCAGCUGAGACACCCUGACAGGCCUCCGUUACUUCGCCAUGGAGCUCGGGUUCAUUUGAGGUUUCGCCGCACAACUUAUUGGGCGGAAGCGAAGAACACGACGGGACCCAGUGAAGAAAGAAGGAGGAGCUGACCUACAUUUUGCCAGCUGCUUGCAACAUGCAUGCUUCUUCAAUGUGUGGUUUCCUACCACAGUGUGAUUGACUAAUACCUAUUUAUGGUUCAAACUAUGACUGUCGUGCAUCAUAAGAUGUGAGGUUACAGCAGAAAUUAACUCGAGAUAUCAUAAAAGUAAAGAUGAAAGAUUUUGUUGUUUCAUAAAAUUGUCAAUAGAUUCUAAAAAAAAACAACAGACGUGACCUAGAAAAAAAGUCACAAUUGUUUUAGUUUUGAAAAUUACAGAAAAAGUUAAAGAAGUUAAAAAAGUUAAUUUAGUUUAUGACAAAAAGCCUGGGCAACAAAGACAGCCUUCAGCCUCUUAUUUGCUGCUUCAGAACAGUUGCUCUCAGCAGUCAGGAAGGUAAUACUUGAAUCUACUUUAGGCAGACUUGGAGGCUUUCUGAAAUUGGUAUGUGCAUUGGAACAGCUGUUUAUUAGUGCAAAAAAUAAACAUGAAUAAACAAAUCUAGAGUUAUGUGUAUAACUUUUUAUGUCACUGACACGCAGGUAACAUAAUAUGUGAGAAAUGACUGCAAAUUUAAACUUUCUAACUUUUAAGUGUGUAUCACACUAAAAAGAUCGAAGAGCAACAUGAACUCCUGAUACAUCCUGCAUUUAUUCAUGCAUUACAUCAUCAUCCGUCUCAGAACAUUUGGGUUAUCAUCUGCUGCUGUAGACAUUGAUGUUUUUGAUAAGUAAUCCUGGAAAUUCCACCAACACUUUAUGAUGACAUCAGACUAGAUGUCUGUCUGUACUUAUAUGUAAAUGUCUGUCAAACUGCUCAAACCACAAACACAAACUAGAGCUCUGUCACCCAAAUAAAUCCAGUCUCAUGAAAACAGAAUGUUUAUUCACAAGCAGAUAUCUGAGAUUAAUCACUUUAACUAAAACUUACUUCAGAAUAUUACUGGUAUUGAUAAGUGCGACUAGAUAUAUUGUUACUUCCCAUGUGCUGCAGGGCUUGUUUUUAAUCUUCAUAUUGGGUGACAAGAUCAGAGUCCAGAUACUACCUUUUAAUACUUUACAUAAUACCUGUUAUAAAUAAGUGUAAAUGAAGUAAAAUAAUGAAUUCUUUAUUGUGUCUUCGUUUUAAGUCAGAACACGACUGCAGGCUUGAUAAUUGUUUCAUUGGGGUCACCACUUUUAUCACUUGUUCCUUUUUUCCCCUUUUUGUCUUGUCCACGUCCCCAAGCCAGACAGACAGAAAAACAAGUUAAACAGACUCUGUUAUUGUUAGUAAAUAGUUAUGAGCAAUGCAUAAGGCGUGUUUUUUUUAUUCUUUUGUUCAUCUAGUUCCUUUCAGGAAGAACAUGUCUGUUUGCACUUACUGUAUCAUUAAAGGAUGUCAAGACAA